UACGUAGGGUGCAAGCGUUGUUCGGAAUCACUGGGCGUAAAGGGCGUGUAGGCGGUCAGGUAAGUGGAAUGUGAAAUCCCUCGGCUCACCCGAGGACCUGCAUCCCAAACUGCCUGGCUUGAGUAUGGGAGAGGAUGAGGGAAUUCCUGGUGUAGCGGUGAAAUGCGUAGAUAUCAGGAGGAACACCGGUGGCGAAGGCGGCAUCCUGGACCAAUUCUGACGCUGAGGAGCGAAAGCCAGGGGAGCAAACGGG
rnacentral:rRNA from 1 species